GACGAACGCUGGCGGCGUGCUUAACACAUGCAAGUCGAACGAAGUGGCGAACGGGUGAGUAACGCGUAAUCAACCUGCCCUUCAGAGGGGGACAACAGUUGGAAACGACUGCUAAUACCGCAUACUGAAGGAGGGGAUUGCGGCUGCUUGGGUAGUUGGAGGGGUAACGGCCCACCAAGGUGAUGCUCAGUAGCCGGGCUGAGGUGAUGAAAGGCCACAUUGGGACUGAGACACGGCCCAGACUCCUACGGGAGGCAGCAGUGGGGAAUCUUCCGAAAUGGACGAAAGUCUGACGGAGCAACGCCGCGGGAGUGAUGACGGCCUUCGGGUUGUAAAGCUCUGUUAAUCGGGACGCGGUACCGGAAUAGAAAGCCACGGCUAACUACGUGCCAGCAGCCGCGGUAAUUC
rnacentral:rRNA from 1 species